rnacentral:rRNA from 1 species
UAAGCGGAGGAAAAGAAACUAACAAGGAUUCCCCUAGUAACUGCGAGUGAAGCGGGAAAAGCUCAAAUUUAAAAUCUGGCGGUCGCUCUGGCCGUCCGAGUUGUAAUCUGGAGAAGUGUUUUCCGCGUCGGACCGUGUACAAGUCUUCUGGAACGGAGCGUCAUAGAGGGUGAGAAUCCCGUCUCUGACACGGACUGCCGAUGCUUUAUGUGAUACGCUCUCGAAGAGUCGAGUUGUUUGGGAAUGCAGCUCAAAAUGGGUGGUAAAUUCCAUCUAAAGCUAAAUAUUGGCGAGAGACCGAUAGCGAACAAGUACCGUGAGGGAAAGAUGAAAAGCACUUUGGAAAGAGAGUUAAACAGUACGUGAAAUUGUUGAAAGGGAAACGUUUGAAGUCAGUCGCGUUGGCCGGGACUCAACCUUGCUAUCUUGCUCGGUGCACUUCUCGGUUGACGGGUCAGCAUCAAUUUUGACCGUCGGAUAAAGGCUGAGGGAACGUGGCAUCCUCCGGGGUGUGUUAUAGCCCUCGGUUCGCAUACGAUGAUUGGGAUUGAGGAACUCAGCACGCCUUUAUGGUCGGGGUAUUUAUACCCACGUUAACGUGCUUAGGAUGCUGG